UCACAUUGAUGUUUUCUUUCAUUACAGUUAGACUUCGAGAUCUACAUUUUCGACAAAGGCCUGGUGUAAUAUUACGUACUUGAUGAAGGUUUAAUGACACGAAUGAGUACAAGUACAUUACAUUUUUCGACGAAGGCCUUCUGUAAUUUCAUACGCUUCUUACGCAACAUUCAAUAGAUUUAUUUACUGUAUUAUCAUUUCGACCAAGGCGAAUUCGACACUUCAAUUACACAAGCACAAUCAAACUUAGUCAUUCCAGUCAGUUACUGAAGCACAGCGAAAACUGUCUGAAUUAGUGCUGCUGAUGGCAUGUAAUUACUCUACUACCACUACCAGUGACAGUCAAUGUCCAUAUAUUUUCAAGUGUGCGAAAUUAGUACUCGUCUACUUCUUAGUAUUAUUUUAAUGCAAUGUAUGUUAUAAAAAUAUUUUUUCAACACUAUAUCAACAUUCUCAUUCCUGUCAGUUUCUGAAAAUCAGCUAAAGCAAUCGCUACCAAUGCAGCUGAUAACAGCAAUUCUUUUUGUUCCCAAUGCCCAUCAAUGACAAUAUAUUUCACGCAUGUGACAAUCAUGUAAUCAUCCUGUUUUUUGUGUUCUAUUCAUGCAAUAAAUAAAUUCAGUAUUUUCAAAUCAUUGGUGCUACAAAACUAUUCUCAUUAUAGAUUAUUCAUAUUUUAUAAAAUGCUGUCAUGUCAAAUUUUGUGUCCUAUAAAUCAUUAUGAAGUCGGCAUUUUAUAUACAACUUUUGUACUCCUCCUAAAUAAACAUACAAAUCUUGUUUUAUGUAAGCUUUGUAUAUGUGACCCGUCACAGCAAAACCAGGCGCAUGUCGCUCUGAGCUUGGCAGGUUGAGACGGACUGUUUGUUCAUUUAUCUAUUGUCUGCCUUUUGUAAAAUAUGAGCACAUCAAUUUCUUCCAUUAUCUCCUGGUGUCAUUUAGGCUCAUCUUCUGUGCGACAUGUACCUGGUUUUGCU